UUAAGUUAUUAAGGGCGCACGGUGGAUGCCUUGGCACUAGAAGCCGAUGAAGGACGUUACUAACGACGAUAUGCUUUGGGGAGCUGUAAGUAAGCUUUGAUCCAGAGAUUUCCGAAUGGGGAAACCCAGCAUGAGUUAUGUCAUGUUAUCGAUAUGUGAAUACAUAGCAUAUCAGAAGGCACACCCGGAGAACUGAAACAUCUUAGUACCCGGAGGAAGAAAAAGAAAAUUCGAUUCCCUUAGUAGCGGCGAGCGAAACGGGAAGAGCCCAAACCAACAAGCUUGCUUGUUGGGGUUGUAGGACACUCUAUACGGAGUUACAAAGGACGACAUUAGACGAAUCAUCUGGAAAGAUGAAUCAAAGAAGGUAAUAAUCCUGUAGUCGAAAAUGUUGUCUCUCUUGAGUGGAUCCUGAGUACGACGGAACACGUGAAAUUCCGUCGGAAUCUGGGAGGACCAUCUCCUAAGGCUAAAUACUCUCUAGUGACCGAUAGUGAACCAGUACCGUGAGGGAAAGGUGAAAAGCACCCCGGAAGGGGAGUGAAAUAGAACCUGAAACCGUGUGCUUACAAGUAGUCAGAGCCCGUUAAUGGGUGAUGGCGUGCCUUUUGUAGAAUGAACCGGCGAGUUACGAUUUGAUGCAAGGUUAAGCAGUAAAUGUGGAGCCGUAGCGAAAGCGAGUCUGAAUAGGGCGUUUAGUAUUUGGUCGUAGACCCGAAACCAGGUGAUCUACCCUUGGUCAGGUUGAAGUUCAGGUAACACUGAAUGGAGGACCGAACCGACUUACGUUGAAAAGUGAGCGGAUGAACUGAGGGUAGCGGAGAAAUUCCAAUCGAACCUGGAGAUAGCUGGUUCUCUCCGAAAUAGCUUUAGGGCUAGCCUCAAGUGAUGAUUAUUGGAGGUAGAGCACUGUUUGGACGAGGGGCCCCUCUCGGGUUACCGAAUUCAGACAAACUCCGAAUGCCAAUUAAUUUAACUUGGGAGUCAGAACAUGGGUGAUAAGGUCCGUGUUCGAAAGGGAAACAGCCCAGACCACCAGCUAAGGUCCCAAAAUAUAUGUUAAGUGGAAAAGGAUGUGGCGUUGCCCAGACAACUAGGAUGUUGGCUUAGAAGCAGCCAUCAUUUAAAGAGUGCGUAAUAGCUCACUAGUCGAGUGACACUGCGCCGAAAAUGUACCGGGGCUAAACAUAUUACCGAAGCUGUGGAUUGUCCUUUGGACAAUGGUAGGAGAGCGUUCUAAGGGCGUUGAAGCAUGAUCGUAAGGACAUGUGGAGCGCUUAGAAGUGAGAAUGCCGGUGUGAGUAGCGAAAGACGGGUGAGAAUCCCGUCCACCGAUUGACUAAGGUUUCCAGAGGAAGGCUCGUCCGCUCUGGGUUAGUCGGGUCCUAAGCUGAGGCCGACAGGCGUAGGCGAUGGAUAACAGGUUGAUAUUCCUGUACCACCUAUAAUCGUUUUAAUCGAUGGGGGGACGCAGUAGGAUAGGCGAAGCGUGCGAUUGGAUUGCACGUCUAAGCAGUAAGGCUGAGUAUUAGGCAAAUCCGGUACUCGUUAAGGCUGAGCUGUGAUGGGGAGAAGACAUUGAGUCUUCGAGUCGUUGAUUUCACACUGCCGAGAAAAGCCUCUAGAUAGAAAUAGGUGCCCGUACCGCAAACCGACACAGGUAGUCAAGAUGAGAAUUCUAAGGUGAGCGAGCGAACUCUCGUUAAGGAACUCGGCAAAAUGACCCCGUAACUUCGGGAGAAGGGGUGCUCUUUAGGGUUAACGCCCAGAAGAGCCGCAGUGAAUAGGCCCAAGCGACUGUUUAUCAAAAACACAGGUCUCUGCUAAACCGUAAGGUGAUGUAUAGGGGCUGACGCCUGCCCGGUGCUGGAAGGUUAAGAGGAGUGGUUAGCUUCUGCGAAGCUACGAAUCGAAGCCCCAGUAAACGGCGGCCCGUAACUAUAACGGUCCUAAGGUAGCGAAAUUCCUUGUCGGGUAAGUUCCGACCCGCACGAAAGGCGUAACGAUUUGGGCACUGUCUCAACGAGAGACUCGGUGAAAUCAUAGUACCUGUGAAGAUGCAGGUUACCCCGCGACAGGACGGAAAGACCCCGUGGAGCUUUACUGUAGCCUGAUAUUGAAAAUUCGGCACAGCUUGUUACAGGAUAGGUAGGAGCCUUUGAAACGUGAGCGCUAGCUUACGUGGAGGCGCUGGUGGGAUACUACCCUAGCUGUGUUGGCUUUCUAACCCGCACCACUUAUCGUGGUGGGAGACCAGUGUCAGGCGGGCAGUUUGACUGGGGCGGUCGCCUCCUAAAAAGGUAACGGAGGCGCUCAAAAGGUUCCCUCAGAAUGGUUGGAAAUCAUUCAUAGAGUGUAAAGGCAUAAGGGAGGCUUGACUGCGAGACCUACAAGUCGAGCAGGGUCGAAAGACGGACUUAGUGAUCCGGUGGUUCCGCAUGGAAGGGCCAUCGCUCAAACGGAUAAAAGCUACCCCGGGGAUAAACAGGCUUAUCUCCCCCAAGAGUUCACAUCGACGGGGAGGUUUGGGCACCUCGAUGUCGGCUCAUCGCAUCCUGGGGCUGUAGUCGGUCCCAAGGGUUGGGCUGUUUCGCCCAUUAAAGCGGUACGCGAGCUGGGUUCAGAACGUCGUGAGACAGUUCGGUCCCUAUCCGUCGUGGGCGUAGGAAAUUUGAGAGGAGCUGUCCUUAGUACGAGAGGACCGGGAUGGACAUACCUCUGGUGUACCAGUUGUCGUGCCAACGGCAUAGCUGGGUAGCUAUGUGUGGACGGGAUAAGUGCUGAAAGCAUCUAAGCAUGAAGCCCCCCUCAAGAUGAGAUUUCCCAACUUCGGUUAUAAGAUCCCUCAAAGAUGAUGAGGUUAAUAGGUUCGAGGUGGAAGCAAUGGUGACAUGUGGAGCUGACGAAUACUAAUCGAUCGAAGACUUAAUCAA
rnacentral:rRNA from 1 species